rnacentral:rRNA from 1 species
GAUGAACGCUGGCGGCGUGCCUAAUACAUGCAAGUCGAGCGAACAGACGAGGAGCUUGCUCCUCUGACGUUAGCGGCGGACGGGUGAGUAACACGUGGAUAACCUACCUAUAAGACUGGGAUAACUUCGGGAAACCGGAGCUAAUACCGGAUAAUAUAUUGAACCGCAUGGUUCAAUAGUGAAAGACGGUUUUGCUGUCACUUAUAGAUGGAUCCGCGCCGCAUUAGCUAGUUGGUAAGGUAACGGCUUACCAAGGCAACGAUGCGUAGCCGACCUGAGAGAGUGAUCGGCCACACUGGAACUGAGACACGGUCCAGACUCCUACGGGAGGCAGCAGUAGGGAAUCUUACGCAAUGGGCGAAAGCCUGACGGAGCAACGCCGCGUGAGUGAUGAAGGUCUUCGGAUCGUAAAACUCUGUUAUUAGGGAAGAACAAAUGUGUAAGUAACUAUGCACGUCUUGACGGUACCUAAUCAGAAAGCCACGGCUAACUACGUG